AACAUUCAACGCUGUCGGUGAGUUUUGUCAGUGGGAUUAAACCAUCGACUGUUGAGUGUACC
rnacentral:pre_miRNA from 1 species